GGGGUAUCCAUCGUCGUUACUUGAGUUGAUGUUAUUGUCUUGUUGCUUUAAAGUUCUUUCGAAUUAAUUCACUCGCUUGAUUAUACAUAUUUAAUGAAUUGGCGGGUUCUUUACUCAAGCCAGUAGCUGUUGCUGUAUGUAAAGUGUAUCGCAGCGAAUCCAUGAUUUCAUCAGAAGGUUUCUCUCAGUUGGAUAUCCUUGAGGCCAAGUUCGUCAGAAUGUAAGCAUAAUGGAG